GUAAAAGUGAGGUGGAUGUAGACUGCGUCAGCUACCGUUAUACAUUGUGAACACAGAUACUCUGCAGAUGGCCCUGAUACACAUUCCAAAGAUGACUAGAACUAGUGAAGUUAUAUCUGCAGAUAAUGUGGUCUGAACCAACCAAAGAGAAGUGUUUUGAUAACAAUAACAGCCAAUGUGUGUCGGUAUCCUUUGGAUCUUAAGGAAGCCCAGUAUAACAGAAUAUCUGGAGAGAUUGCCCGUAACAGCGUGAGUGGUGUAGUGACAAUUUUUGGUAUCCGGAUCAACCUCCCGCCUAAAAGUUAGACUAAGCUAAGAAUCUCAGGACAUCAGAUGCAAAUGGAUUUGAAAUUGUGCAAUGAGAUGAGGAAGAUAGCGAUCUUGAUGUAUCUCAUAGCUCUUAGAAGGAAUGCAAAAAUUUGAUUUGGGAAACACGGACUCCUGGACACGCUACAACUAUUAUCAGGAAACCACUGAGGAAUAAGAGUCUUCUGGGUAGGAUCAGGUACCAAUGAGGAGUAAGCAUCCACUGUCGACCAGUUGCACCCGACCCGAGCUUUACAUCUUUUUCAAAUAUGUUGAACGAUCCGCAGUAGAAUUCGCUAUGCUAACAAAUGACCUAACAAUUUGUAUGAACACACCAAACACCAUUUAGUCAAAUAACAGCCUGUACACAAUAUUUUUUAUCCAAUUUCUAAAUUGUUUAUCUUUCGUACAAAUUGUGGUUGGCCAAUAGUGUAAUAAUUUUGCGUGUUACACAUUUAAUUUCUGUAACAUUUGGUGUGAGCAAGAAUCUGUGUUUUAAAUAACUGUAUUUUCCUUGUGCUAUAUCAUUAAGCAUUUGCGGUUUUUUUUUUAAAUUUUCAACAUUGGGAAUGUAAGAUGUUUGGAUGAAUCGAUGAAAAAAAUAUUAUUGUAUAUUUUCAAGAAACGCCAAAUUAUUUACAGCCAUAACACCCACCUUAGCUGAAGUAUAUAAAAUCAAACUUAAUGUCCAGUCUAUUUAGAUAUCCCCCUUCACUAACAAUCUUGUGAAGCCAUUGGUGUAAAAUUUUGCAAAAUAUGUGGACAUUUUCUGACACUUUAUUUUAUUGACUUCCAAAAUAUUGAUGGAACCAAAUAAGAGGGAGACGGUUUCUUCUGAGGGCAUACUAUUGUGUAUUUAUUGUUAGUGACAUUCCAAUUUACAAAACAAUAUCCUGCAUUAUUUUAAAGCCUAUGAUAUUUUCAGAAAAAAAUGUGUUAUAUCUUUGAAGGUAAGCAGGGAUGUGGUCAAUUUCAUUAAAAAAAAAGUAAUUAAAUACUUUCUAUUACAUCGAUAGUUUUGUCAAUUACUUGCAUUUAAGAUUACAUAAAUUUACAUUAAAAAAAUGUAAUUAAUUACCCUCAAUUACUUUGAAGAAUGUCAUUAAAUAUAUUUCUAUUACUGAAGUUUAUUUCAAAAUGUUUUGGAAUAUUUAACUAUGAAGCCUGCUUUGAUUUAUGUUCAACCUUUGUGGAGAAUUCUGCUGGAAAUAAUUUUGAAAUUUCCAGAUGCAUUUUCUUGGACAUGAAAUUCAUUAAUACGUUUUAAGUCAUAUUAUAUUCUGAAUGUAAUGUCUGAACUUGUCUACCUGUGCCUUUGGAUUAGUUUGGU